GUCACUAAGCUGUUGGGGCCUUCGGGCCUUGGUAGCGCAGCUAACGCGUGAAGUUGACCGCCUGGGGAGUACGGUCGCAAGAUUAAAACUCAAAGGAAUUGACGGGGACCCGCACAAGCGGUGGAUGAUGUGGAUUAAUUCGAUGCAACGCGAAAAACCUUACCUACCCUUGACAUGUCUGGAAUGCCGAAGAGAUUUGGCAGUGCUCGCAAGAGAACCGGAACACAGGUGCUGCAUGGCUGUCGUCAGCUCGUGUCGUGAGAUGUUGGGUUAAGUCCCGCAACGAGCGCAACCCUUGUCAUUAGUUGCUACGAAAGGGCACUCUAAUGAGACUGCCGGUGACAAACCGGAGGAAGGUGGGGAUGACGUCAAGUCCUCAUGGCCCUUAUGGGUAGGGCUUCACACGUCAUACAAUGGUCGGGACAGAGGGUCGCCAACCCGCGAGGGGGAGCCAAUCCCAGAAACCCGAUCGUAGUCCGGAUCGCAGUCUGCAACUCGACUGCGUGAAGUCGGAAUCGCUAGUAAUCGCGGAUCAGCAUGUCGCGGUGAAUACGUUCCCGGGUCUUGUACACACCGCCCGUCACACCAUGGGAGUGGGUUUUACCAGAAGUAGUUAGCCUAACCGCAAGGGGGGCGAUUACCACGGUAGGAUUCAUGACUGGGGUGAAGUCGUAACAAGUUAACCGUAAAGUA
rnacentral:rRNA from 1 species